rnacentral:rRNA from 1 species
GGUAACGGCAUACCAAGGCGACGAUCGGUAGCCGGCCUGAGAGGGUGGACGGCCACAUUGGGACUGAGACACGGCCCAAACUCCUACGGGAGGCAGCAGUGGGGGAUAUUGCACAAUGGGGGAAACCCUGAUGCAGCGACACCGCGUGGGUGAAGAAGCGCUUCGGCGUGUAAAGCCCUAUCAGUGGGGAAGAAAAAGGACGGUACCCAAAGAAGAAGCACCGGCUAAAUACGUGCCAGCAGCCGCGGUAAUACGUAUGGUGCAAGCGUUAUCCGGAAUGACUGGGUGUAAAGGGAGCGUAGACGGUUGUACAAGUCUGAUGUGAAAGCCCACGGCUCAACUGUGGGAGUGCAUUGGAAACUGUAGAACUAGAGUAUCGGAGAGGCAAGUGGAAUUCCUAGUGUAGCGGUGAAAUGCGUAGAUAUUAGGAGGAACACCAGUGGCGAAGGCGGCUUGCUGGACGAAAACUGACGUUGAGGCUCGAAAGCGUGGGGAGCAAACAGGAUUAGAUACCCUGGUAGUCCACGCUGUAAACGAUGAUUACUAGGUGUUGGG